GGGCCAUUAUCGCAGUUGUUUAGAGCAUCCGGCUCAUAACCGGACUGUCUGGGGUUCGAGUCCCUAAUGGCCCA
rnacentral:tRNA from 1 species